AACCGUUAUCACUGCUGGACCUGCUCAGCUUUUCUUGUUCAGGUGCUGUGGGAUGGCAAUUGGUGGGUGGUGUCAUUGCUCCUGCCCGAUGUCACCUUUAGUUCCUGGCUUGCCUCAUUAAGAAACUGCUUGAUAUGGACCAGAUCCCAAACUGCUGAAGUCAACACAAGAUUGACUUGAGUAGACUGUUCAAAAGAUGUCACUCUCAAAAGAAUAUGAAGUGCUGAGAUCUCAUUUCCAAGGGAAAUAGUUGAUAUCCAGAAAACAAGUGCAUACAAACAAUUCAAAAAUAUAAUCUCAGGACUAA